AGGUCUUGACAUCCCUCUGACCGCUCUAGAGAUAGAGUUUUCCUUCGGGACAGAGGUGACAGGUGGUGCAUGGUUGUCGUCAGCUCGUGUCGUGAGAUGUUGGGUUAAGUCCCGCAACGAGCGCAACCCCUAUUGUUAGUUGCCAUCAUUCAGUUGGGCACUCUAGCGAGACUGCCGGUAAUAAACCGGAGGAAGGUGGGGAUGACGUCAAAUCAUCAUGCCCCUUAUGACCUGGGCUACACACGUGCUACAAUGGUUGGUACAACGAGUCGCAAGCCGGUGACGGCAAGCUAAUCUCUUAAAGCCAAUCUCAGUUCGGAUUGUAGGCUGCAACUCGCCUACAUGAAGUCGGAAUCGCUAGUAAUCGCGGAUCAGCACGCCGCGGUGAAUACGUUCCCGGGCC
rnacentral:rRNA from 1 species